GACGAACGCUGGCGGCGUGCUUAACACAUGCAAGUCGAACGGAAAGGCCCUGCUUUUGUGGGGUGCUCGAGUGGCGAACGGGUGAGUAACACGUGAGUAACCUGCCCUUGACUUUGGGAUAACUUCAGGAAACUGGGGCUAAUACCGGAUAGGAGCUCCUGCUGCAUGGUGGGGGUUGGAAAGUUUCGGCGGUUGGGGAUGGACUCGCGGCUUAUCAGCUUGUUGGUGGGGUAGUGGCUUACCAAGGCUUUGACGGGUAGCCGGCCUGAGAGGGUGACCGGCCCCCUUGGGACUGGGAUUCGGCCCCGACCCCUACGGGAGGCAGCAGUGGGGAAUAUUUCACCAUGGGCGGAAGCCUGAUGCAGCAACGCCGCGUGCGGGAUGACGGCCUUCGGGUUGGAAACCGCUUUCGCCUGUGACGAAGCGUGAGUGACGGUAAUGGGUAAAGAAGCACCGGCUAACUACGUG
rnacentral:rRNA from 1 species